CCAGUCCUCAAUCUGGCGGGCCACUGCGACCCGACCAACGGUGGCUGCGCCAGCCUGAGCUCCGACAUAAAGUCAUGCCAGAGCCGUGGUGUCAAGGUCAUACUCUCCAUCGGUGGCGGGGCGGGCGGCUACUACCUUUCCUCGACCCAGGAUGCCAAGAAUGUCGCGAGAUACCUGUGGAACAACUUCUUGGGAGGUAAGUCAUCUUUGCGACCUCUCGGCGAUGCAGUCCUUGACGGCAUCGACUUCGACAUUGAAGGCGGCACACCCCUCCACUGGGACGAUCUUGCGAGGUUCCUCAAAGGAUAUAGCAACUCCGGCAGGAGAGUCUACCUGACUGCCGCACCACAAUGCCCUUUCCCUGACGCAUGGGUGGGUGGCGCCCUUAACACCGGCCUCUUUGACUAUGUGUGGGUGCAAUUCUACAACAAUGCACCCUGUCAGUACACCUCAGGUAGCACUACCAAUCUAGCUGACGCAUGGAAGCAGUGGUUGACAGUUCCAGCAAAGCAGAUCUUCCUCGGCCUCCCGGCGUCACCUCAGGCUGCCGGGAGUGGAUUCAUCCUAGCUAAUGAUCUAAAGUCAGAUGUUCUCCCAUUGAUUAAGAGCACAGGGAAGUAUGGAGGGAUCAUGUUGUGGUCCAAAUAUUAUGAUGACCAGGAUGGCUACAGUUCUUCGGUGAAGAGUGAUGUUUGA
rnacentral:rRNA from 1 species